ensembl:lncRNA
GUGCCCUGGCCAACUAAAGCUAUCGGCUCUCAGUACAAUGACAUUGUCUUCACAGUGAGCAUAGUCUAGUACAAGCUGUUUGGUGUUCAUCGUAGGACAAGACACUGAAGUCAAGCCAGCCCAGGUUCAACCGAGUGUGCCCCAAAAUGCCACCCUAUUCCCAAAAUGGGCUCUGAUUAAAAGUAGUGCACUACUUUUAGGGAAUAGGGUGAUAUUUGGGAGGCACACUCAUAGACAUAGACAGUAGUAAAUGUCUAGAAGGCACUUCCAUCCUCCUCAUAGAGCCACCGUUGGGAGGAUAUUUUCACAGAGUAAGCAGAUAGAAUCUUUUAUAGCCAAUUGGUAAUGACACUGUCCUGUAAAUCAACAUCCAGAGAUGAAUUAGACUUUCUAACAUACGGAGUGGAAGAGGUUGGGAGUAUUAGUGACCCAUGACAAUCAGUACAUACAAGCGUUAGAUCCAAGCACUACUCCUUUUGUUGAUACUUUAACAAAUCAAUAUUUUAACACAUAAAAUAUUAUUAACCGCUGUUACUAAUAUCAUCAAUAAUGUUUACAGUUUUAGAAUUAGACACCAGUGCUUCUUCGACUUGCAUAGAUGAAAAUACUUGGAUAACAGAGCAGAGCUCCCUGGCCAUGACAAUAAGCUGAACAAGUAGAACAACGCCCUUGACAGUGCUCAUACACUGGCAACACCCACCUGUCCCAAUGGUGGAUCAUGUCACCUCCAAAUUGGCAGAAUUGCAUCAUUAUAUGGAUCAUCUCUUGGAAAGGUCAUUGGCCAGUAGGAAUUGGAACGGUCAUUGGCCAGUAGAAAUUGGAAAGGUCAUUGGCCAGUAGGAAUUGGAAAGGUCAUUGGCCAGUAGGAAUUGGAAAGGUUAUUGGCUACAGAUCAAAGGCAAGCCACAGUACUAGAAUAAGUAGAACAAGCUUGCUCAUUUUGAGUGCACCCAUGACUUUACCAGUCAAAUCGCCAUGGUCAGAGGUUCCAGACCGUUCUAUUCGUUCUACUUCUAUAAGGCAAGGCCCUGCAGGACAAAAUAAAUAGACCCUCCAUCUGGUUCUCUUCUGUCAGCAGCUCUAUGUGCACAUCAUGAGACCACAUCAACUUAACAAUCAGUCAUUAUCAUGUGUGAGGGACUAUUGAACUGUUCUGACAGUCAGUAACUGUUACAGUGAUGUUACAGUUUCCCAAACUCCACGCUCGGGACUCCAAGGGGUGCACGUUUUGGUUUUUGCCCAAACACUACAAAGCUUGAUGAUUAGUUGAUUCUUUGAAUAAGCGGUGUAGUGCCUAGGAAAGAAAGGAAACCCCGGGGUCCUGGGGACUGAGUUUGGGGAAACCCUGAGUUACAGUGGUAACAAGUUAAAAUGGGGAGUCCAGGUCCUUCAGUUCCAACAGGUACUUGCUAAGUGCCUUCUCAGAGGCCCAGCACCCUACAGCCAUGGAGCCCUUCAGGAGCCACUUAAGCAGUCCCACAGUGGCCCCUGGAGAGACAAGGGGAGCCAGAGUCUUGACCCCCACCCUGGGGGCCACCAUUUGGGGCAGGCUGAGGGCCACACUGCCCAGGGCCCCGACAGCGUUUCCUGCAAACAGACACACAGUGAGCGAGCAGGAGACGGCAGAGAGCGCCAGACAGCGUGACAUCAGCAUCAACUCGUCCGCUGACAGCCAAUCGCAGAGCACCGGGAGGAGAGCUGAGCCAAUAAGGAGGAUGUUGGCUGUGGUGCGGUCUUCGCUGAGCCACAGGAAGCCGAAGGAGACUAGCGGUGGAGCCAGGACCUCGCCGGCCCACUCCAGGUCCCCCUGUACAGAGGUCAGGUAUGGGCUGAAGGAGAGAGGCAGGGUGCAGAGGCCUGAGGAGAGACCGAGCAGAAAGAAACCCACCGCUGGAGCUCUGUGGUCCU